rnacentral:lncRNA from 1 species
UGCGACUCCUGGUAUUACAUUUCCCAUCGAUGCGGACUCCAGCUAGUUUCUCCUCAGGUCUUGCUAAAUCUGACAAAGGUGGCAAGGAUCUCCGCUUAAGAAACAGUAUUUUAUCCCUCAAUGGAGAGAAUGAUAGUGCUGGAAGUGGUGGAGCAUCAACAAUAUCUCUAAUCUCACGGGGAGGAAGACGAUAUCCAGUUUCUGAUGCUGAUUAAUACAUUUCCCAUCGAUGCGGACUCCAGCUAGUUUCUCCUCAGGUCUUGCUAAAUCUGACAAAGGUGGCAAGGAUCUCCGCUUAAGAAACAGUAUUUUAUCCCUCAAUGGAGAGAAUGAUAGUGCUGGAAGUGGUGGAGCAUCAACAAUAUCUCUAAUCUCACGGGGAGGAAGACGAUAUCCAGCGUCUAAUGCUGAUUCUACAUCUAGUAAAAAAUUUAAAAACAUACGUAAAUUCUAUUAAAAAGGGAAAAUUACAGAGUUAGAGAGUAUUGAAACAUGAAACCAAAGGCAAUGAAGAAAUGGAGAUAUAGAUGAAAAA